rnacentral:pre_miRNA from 1 species
CGUUCCAGUAAUGCGUUUGCAUGCUCGCUUUUCAACUGUAAAUGCAUUCUCUGGGAUGCG